rnacentral:rRNA from 1 species
AUGGGGUGUCGUUAUUUCAGCUCUUUGUAUGUGUUGUGUUUCGUUAGGCUUAGUCUAGCUAGGCGUUGUUUAGAUUUUUGCUCGGUUUUCCUCAAUAAACCAAGUAGCCAGAUUUUUCAUUUCUUCUUUUCUGGCACUCGCCUUUAUGCGACACAUUCCUCCUCAUGGAGUGUUCUUGUAAUACUCAUUUCUAAUCAAUGGAUGUGGCGGCCCUCUUGUAAUGCUCUUGCCCGGUUUUCCUUAAAAAAGAGUUGUACUCCCUCCAUUCCCUUAUACAAGGCCAGUAUCAAAAAUACAUUUUGCAUCGAUAUAAGGCCACCAACAGUAAUUGAGGCAAAAAUUAAUAAUGUUUCCUCAUACUAG